ACCUGUUCCCAUGCCGAACACAGAAGUUAAGCUCUCUAGCGCCGAUGGUAGUUGGGGUUCUUCCCCUGUGAGAGUAGGACGCCGCCGGGC
rnacentral:rRNA from 1 species